rnacentral:rRNA from 1 species
GACGAACGCUGGCGGCGUGCUUAACACAUGCAAGUCGAACGGAAAGGCCCUGCUUUUGUGGGGUGCUCGAGUGGCGAACGGGUGAGUAACACGUGAGUAACCUGCCCUUGACUUUGGGAUAACUUCAGGAAACUGGGGCUAAUACCGGAUAGGAGCUCCUGCUGCAUGGUGGGGGUUGGAAAGUUUCGGCGGUUGGGGAUGGACUCGCGGCUUAUCAGCUUGUUGGUGGGGUAGUGGCUUACCAAGGCAUUGACGGGUAGCCGGCCUGAGAGGGUGACCGGCCACAUUGGGACUGAGGUACGGCCCAGACUCCUACGGGAGGCAGCAGUGGGGAAUAUUGCACAAUGGGCGGAAGCCUGAUGCAGCAACGCCGCGUGCGGGAUGACGGCCUUCGGGUUGUAAACCGCUUUCGCCUGUGACGAAGCGUGAGUGACGGUAAUGGGUAAAGAAGCACCGGCUAACUACGUG